ACCCAAAUUUUUAUCCAGGUUGACCUCGGAUCAGGUAGGGAUACCCGCUGAACUUAAGCAUAUCAAUAAGCGGAGGAAAAGAAACCACAGGGAUUGCCCCAGUAACGGCGAGUGAAGCGGCAAGAGCUCAAAUUUGAAGCUGGCUCCUU
rnacentral:rRNA from 1 species